CAGUGUAGGAAGGUGGGUAUGUUAAUAGCAUAUUCAUUUGACGUUUAGCUGCAGAAGAAGCACCGGCUAACUCCGUGCCAGCAGCCGCGGUAAUACGGAGGGUGCGAGCGUUAAUCGGAAUUACUGGGCGUAAAGCGCAUGCAGGUGGUUUGUUAAGUCAGAUGUGAAAGCCCGGGGCUCAACCUCGGAAUUGCAUUUGAAACUGGCAAACUAGAGUACUGUAGAGGGGGUAGGAAUUUCUAGGUGUAGCGGUGAAAUAGCGUAGAGAUCUGAAGGAAUACCGGUGGCGAAGGCGGCCCCCUGGACCAGAUACUGACACUCAGAUGCGAAAGCGUGGGGAGCAAACAGGAUUAGAUACCCUGGUAG
rnacentral:rRNA from 1 species